UUUUCUGGGUAUCUUAUUUGUUAAUGCUUAAUUUUUCUUUCUUUUUUUCCCCCCCAACAAAGUGUACCUACCUUCCAGCAAAAAUCUCAAGCCCUCGUCAGAAACAAAGACUCAAAAAAGCUUAUUUUCAGAUGAGGAGGACUCUGAGGAUUUGUUUUCUUCUCAAAGUGCGAGUAAGUUAA
rnacentral:lncRNA from 1 species